ACAGCAGCAUCCAGACUGUUGUCCCUUCCUGUUAUUAACACCAGUUCGCGAUAACCUUUUGGAGAUGCACAGUGGUUGACGGUGCAUGCGUGCUGAUUUCAUUUCGAGUCGGUUCUGGAGUUGUGGGAACUAGUCCCACUUGUACACAAGUUCUUACUUAAUAAAAGACUUGGAGGGAGCACACGCAUGGAUGGAUAUGGGAUACCUGCCAACCAUAGAUAGCGGCUGUACCACUCAACAUGGAGCUGAGAUGCUGGAAGAUCGCCCAAGAUCAGGCUCCAGGGUCUGAGACCUGAACACCCUGAACACAGCUCCCUCCUCCAGGCCCCCCACACUAUGGCCGACGAUCUGAGGACCGGCCUGUCCGUGUGGGCCAUCGUCGCCAUCGUGUGUAACUCUGCGGUGGGCAUCCUCAUCCUCAUUCUGUUCGCCAUCCUCUACAAGGCCUGCCAGGUGCCCUCCAAACCCCCCAAUGGGACACCGGCCCUCUUCACGGUUCUCGAAGCAGAGACCAGGGAGGAGAAGUACAGGCUGGUGGCACCCUGAGACUCCUUAAUGUUGUUCACCUUGACGGAGGGUGUCUGGGCGGGCGUCUGGGGAGCUCUGGAAGAGUUCGACACUGACCUCGAGUCAUGCAUUGUGGCCAAAUAUGAAACGAUUCUUCUCCCUUCCUUUCUCCCCUUCAUGAGCAGAAGGAGGUAAACACACCUGUCUUUUGUCGUGUUCCUUUAUCCAAGAGUCCUUUUCUCCCUCGUCAGUGUCUCUCACCUUUACCCCAAGCCGGUUAGCGGAGCUCAGACCAAUCAAAGCGGAGCGACAGGUUUGCCUUUGAAGGAUUAUGUAAAGGAACAGAAAAAUAAGACAGGCCCCACAAUCCUCUUAUCUUCACCAACACUGCGGCGCUGGGACCGUCCAUCUGCCUCUCCCUCCACACAGCACCUGGACAGCUUUCUCCCUCUCCUUCAUCUUCUCCUCUUUCCCCUCCUUCAAUUGGUAUCUUGGUCUCGCUCUGUCUCUCUCUUUCUCUCUCUCUCUCUCUCUCUCUCUCUCUCUCUCUCUCUCUCUCUCUCUCU